rnacentral:rRNA from 1 species
AUAAACGCUGGCGGCGUGCCUAACACAUGCAAGUCGCACGUCCUGUGGUCGCAAGGCCGCAGGGAGUGGCGGACGGGUGAGUAACACGUGGGAACCUACCCACAGGUGAGGAAUACCACCGGGAAACCGGUGACAAAACCGCAUAGGCUCUCUUACAAGAGAGAGCAAAGCCUUUCGGGGCGCCUGAGGAUGGGCCUGCGGCCGAUUAGCUAGCUGGUGGGGUAAUGGCCUACCAGGGCGACGAUCGGUAGCUGGUCUGAGAGGACGAGCAGCCACACUGGGAUUGAGAACGGCCCAGACUCCUACGGGGGGCAGCAGUGAGGAAUUUUCGGCAAUGGGCGCAAGCCUGACCGAGCAACGCCGCGUGCAGGAAGACGGCCUUCGGGUUGUAAACUGCUUUUCCCAGGGACGAGUGUGGACGGUACCUGGGGAACAAGCUCCGGCUAACUACGUGCCAGCAGCCGCGGUAAUACGUAGGGAGCAAGCGUUGUCCGGAGUAACUGGGCGUAAAGCGCACGCAGGCGGUUCAUCGCGUUGGCACUGACAGCCGUGGCCUAACUCAGGGAGGGGUGUCAAAACGGGUGAACUUGAGCCUCAGAGAGGGAGACGGAAUUCCGCGUGGAGCGGUGAAAUGCGUAGAGAUGCGGAAGAACACCAAAGGCGAAGGCAGUCUCCUGGCUGAGAGCUGACGCUCAGGUGCGAAAGCCAGGGGAGCGAACAGGAUUAGAUACCCUGGUAGUCCUGGCAGUAAACGAUGACCACUAGAUAUGCGGGGUAUCGACCCCCUGCGUGUCGGCGCAAACGCAUUAAGUGGUCCGCCUGGGGAGUACGGUCGCAAGAUUAAAACUCAAAGGAAUUGACGGGGACCCGCACAAGCGGUGGAUGAUGUGGAUUAAUUCGAUGCAACGCGAACAACCUUACCUACCCUUGACAUGUCCGAAAGCCCGCUGAGAGGUGGGUGUGCCCGAAAGGGAAUCGGAACACAGGUGCUGCAUGGCUGUCGUCAGCUCGUGUCGUGAGAUGUUGGGUUAAGUCCCGCAACGAGCGCAACCCUUGUCCCUAGUUGCUACGCAAGGGCACUCUAGGGAGACUGCCGGUGACAAACCGGAGGAAGGUGGGGAUGACGUCAAGUCCUCAUGGCCCUUAUGGGUAGGGCUUCACACGUCAUACAAUGGCCGGUACAGAGGGUUGCCAAAGCGCGAGCUGGAGCCAAUCCCCGUAAAAGCCGGUCGUAGUCCGGAUUGCAGUCUGCAACUCGACUGCGUGAAGCUGGAAUCGCUAGUAAUCGUAUAUCAGCAAUGAUACGGUGAAUACGUUCCCGGACCUUGCACACACCGCCCGUCAAGCCAUGGAAGCCGGGUAUACCUAAAGUCGGUAACCGCAAGGAGCCGCCUAGGGUAAAACUGGUGACUGGGGCUAAGUCGUAACAAG